rnacentral:rRNA from 1 species
AUUGAACGCUGGCGGCAGGCCUAACACAUGCAAGUCGAACGAGUGGCGGACGGGUGAGUAAUGUCUGGGAAACUGCCCGAUGGAGGGGGAUAACUACUGGAAACGGUAGCUAAUACCGCAUACCAUCGGAUGUGCCCAGAUGGGAUUAGCUAGUAGGGGGGGUAACGGCUCACCUAGGCGACGAUCCCUAGCUGGUCUGAGAGGAUGACCAGCAACACCGGAACCGAGACGCGGGCCAGACGCCUACGGCAGGCAGCAGUGGGGAAGAUGGGAAAAUGGGCGCAAGCGUGAUGCAGCCAUUCCGCGUAUAUGACGAAGGCCUUCGGGUUGUAAAGUACUUUCAGCGAGGAGGCGUUACUCGCAGAAGAAGCACCGGCUAACUCCGUGCCAGCAGCCGCGGUAAUAC